rnacentral:lncRNA from 1 species
AUGCUCUGGGGCAGCAGCUCCAUCGUUUGCAUCCUGCACAGGCACAAGCGGCGGGUCCAGCACAUUCAUAGGACCAGCGUCUCCCCCACAUCCUCCCCUGAGUCCGGAGCUACCAAAACCAUCCUCCUGGUUCUAGCAUGUAUUAACACCGUGUGUCUAAAGUCAUCCCUGCUGGUCAUCUGGAGGAAUCUGAGAAGGGGCAGGUCUUUCUUCUGACUCUCAGAGCAGCACCCUCUGCUGGACAGGGCUGGGCACCUCAUCUCAAGCCCAAUCUGAUCCACCAACAGGGUCUGUUAUCUCCGGUCCGGGGAAGAGGUGGGCCUCUCUCCAUCCUGGGAGGAGCGCUGAGCUUCUCCUUCAUCCAGGGAUGGGCCCCAGGGACGCGCCAGUGGGACUGGGAGAAGCCACCCUCAGCAGGGAAGACAGAGAUGCCUGCGUGGCCGAGGCCUGGAAGGUCUGCACCAUGGUGCACAGAGGCCCCGGAGCUGGGUGAGGCCAGAAAGCUGCUCUGGGGUCAGCGGGGAAUGUGCCUGCUGAAUCUGCAAGCACCUGAGCUACGUCUUCACAAAUGGCCUCAG